rnacentral:rRNA from 1 species
GUGAGGAAUAUUGCGCAAUGGAGGCAACUCUGACGCAGCCAUGCCGCGUGCAGGAAGAAGGCGCUACGCGUUGUAAACUGCUUUUAACCGGGAAGAAACCCCAGGACGUGUCCUGGGUUGACGGUACCGGAGGAAUAAGCACCGGCUAACUUCGUGCCAGCAGCCGCGGUAAUACGAAGGGUGCAAGCGUUAUCCGGAUUCAUUGGGUUUAAAGGGUGCGUAGGCGGAGCGUUAAGUCAGUGGUGAAAUCCUGCAGCUUAACUGUAGACUUGCCAUUGAUACUGGCGCUCUUGAGUGCGCUUGAAGUGGGCGGAAUGUGCCGUGUAGCGGUGAAAUGCUUAGAUAUGGCACAGAACACCAAUUGCGAAGGCAGCUCACUAAGGCGAUACUGACGCUGAGGCACGAAAGCGUGGGGAUCGAACAGGAUUAGAAACCCGAGUAGUCCC